UGAUCCUUGCCAGUAGUCAUAUGCUUGUCUCAAAGAUUAAGCCAUGCAUGUCUCAGUACAAGCCAAAUUAAGGUGAAACCGCGAAAGGCUCAUUAUAUCAGUUAUGGUUCCUUAGAUCGUACCCACAUUUACUUGGAUAACUGUGGUAAUUCUAGAGCUAAUACAUGCAAACAGAGUUCCAACCAGAGAUGGAAGGAAUGCUUUUAUUAGAUCAAAACCAAUCGAUGUUGUCAUAUAUUUAUAUUUUUUAUAUUUAUAUAUGUUGCAUCGUUUUAUUUGGUGACUCUGAAUAACUUUAAGCUGAUCGCACGGUCUCGUACCGGCGACGCAUCUUUCAAAUGUCUGCCUUAUCAACUGUCGAUGGUAGGUUCUGCGCCUACCAUGGUUGUAACGGGUAACGGGGAAUCAGGGUUCGAUUCCGGAGAGGGAGCCUGAGAAACGGCUACCACAUCCAAGGAAGGCAGCAGGCGCGCAAAUUACCCACUCCCGGCACGGGGAGGUAGUGACGAAAAAUAACGAUACGGGACUCAUCCGAGGCCCCGUAAUCGGAAUGAGUACACUUUAAAUCCUUUAACGAGGAUCCAUUAGAGGGCAAGUCUGGUGCCAGCAGCCGCGGUAAUUCCAGCUCUAAUAGCGUAUAUUAAAGUUGUUGCGGUUAAAAAGCUCGUAGUCGAAUCUGUGUCUUACACUGUCGGUUCACCGCUCGCGGUGUUCAACUGGCAUGUUAUGUGAGACGUCCUACCGGUGGGUGGUUUAAAUUAUUGUUUAUAUUUUUACUCCUAUAUAUUGUUGUAUGCAACCAAUGUUAGUUAUAUAUUAUAGGUUUUAUGUUAAUAUGUUAAUUUUAUCAGUAUCGGCUUUACAUUUUAAAGGGGAUGAUAUUUUAGUUAUGGGUAACAUAAUGAUUUAUAUAUUUUAUUAUAGUGUUUUAUUUUUUUUUAAUAAUAUAUUUUCUUGGAUAUAUAUUUCUAUAUUUAUAUAUAGAAUAUAUUGAAAAGUUAUAUAUUUAUUAUAUUAAAUGAACCUAUAUAUUCAAAAAAAAAUAUAUAUUAUCAUUCCAUAUACUAUAUAUUAUCUCUGUUUAGUGACAGAUUUGAUAAUAUAUUAACAUAUAUUAAAAUAACAUAUAACAACUAGAUAUAUUAACUACUUGGAUUCAAAUUGUAUAUUUUACUUAAUAUAUAGAUUAAUGAGUUGAAAAUAUAUAACAUUAAAAUAAUUUAUCGUAAGUGUUUAGCCGUGAAGAACGGCGACAGCCCCCAAUUGCAAUCCUGUCGCGGUGCUCUUAAUUGAGUGUCGAGAUGGGCCGGUACGUUUACUUUGAACAAAUUAGAGUGCUUAAGGCAGGCUAAAAUUUCGCCUGAAUAUUGUGUGCAUGGAAUAAUGGAAUAGGACCUCGGUUCUAUUUUGUUGGUUUUCGGAACUCCGAGGUAAUGAUUAAUACGGACAGAUGGGGGCAUUCGUAUUGCGACGUUAGAGGUGAAAUUCUUGGAUCGUCGCAAGACGGACAGAAGCGAAAGCAUUUGCCAAAAAUGUUUUGAUUGAUCAAGAACGAAAGUUAGAGGUUCGAAGGCGAUCAGAUACCGCCCUAGUUCUAACCAUAAACGAUGCCAGCUAGCGAUCCGCCGAAGUUCUUCCGAUGACUCGGCGGGCAGCUUCCGGGAAACCAAAGCUUUUGGGUUCCGGGGGAAGUAUGGUUGCAAAGCUGAAACUUAAAGGAAUUGACGGAAGGGCACCACCAGGAGUGGAGCCUGCGGCUUAAUUUGACUCAACACGGGAAACCUCACCAGGCCCGGACACCGGAAGGAUUGACAGAUUGAGAGCUCUUUCUUGAUUCGGUGGGUGGUGGUGCAUGGCCGUUCUUAGUUGGUGGAGCGAUUUGUCUGGUUAAUUCCGAUAACGAACGAGACUCUAGCCUGCUAAAUAGACGUACCUUACCGGCAUCUCAAGGCCCAUCGGCUGUUAUUUAUCGUUACGGUUUGUUACUUACUUUUUUAAUAUAAUUAUAUUCUUCCUCAUGUUCUCAUAUUACAUAUAUAUAUAUUUAUAUAUUUAUAUGUGUAUGGGUUAUGUGGGGUGGUUAUAUUAUAUUGGAAGUUUGUUAACACGUACGGUUUACAGUUUUUUGGUGUGGUUUUUACUGCCGGCGUACAUAUUAAUCUUCUUAGAGGGACAGGCGGCUUCUAGCCGCACGAGAUUGAGCAAUAACAGGUCUGUGAUGCCCUUAGAUGUUCUGGGCCGCACGCGCGCUACACUGAAGGAAUCAGCGUGUCUUCCCUGGCCGAAAGGUCCGGGUAACCCGCUGAACCUCCUUCGUGCUAGGGAUUGGGGCUUGCAAUUGUUCCCCAUGAACGAGGAAUUCCCAGUAAGCGCGAGUCAUAAGCUCGCGUUGAUUACGUCCCUGCCCUUUGUACACACCGCCCGUCGCUACUACCGAUUGAAUGAUUUAGUGAGGCCUUCGGACUGGUACACGGCAAAAUGUUUCUGACAUUUACCGUAGUUGCUGGGAAGAUGGCCAAACUUGAUCAUUUAGAGGAAGUAAAAGUCGUAACAAGGUUUCCGU
rnacentral:rRNA from 1 species